AGGCGCUGCAGAGUAGCCAUCUGUAAAAGGAAUUGACAAGGUUAUGCUGCACUCUUGUAACUGAUCCCUGAGUCCGAAACUGGCUGUCCCUAUCAAGACUGGACAGGGAGCAGACUGGAAGCAAAUCUCUGUGUGGGUGCUCAUUCGGUCAUUCCUGUGCUACACUCACGAUGUGCGUAUAAGCAGCUUGAUGAUCCUUCCUGAAUGAGGGCACUAGGGACCAUGGCAUGAGAAUGCUAUUGCAAGAAGACAUUAACUCAUCCUCACAAGUUGCUUUUAAGGGACAGGCUCCUUCUGUUUACAAUCAUGCCAUUUGCAUGCGGAUCCCUCGCAUUGCUUUUAGCAAAGACCCUCCACAGAAUCCCAAGAAGCUGUUUUAUUGCAACCUGCCUGAGGAUUCCGGAGGGAAUGUCAUUACUUGGGUUGAUUUCUUCCCCCCAAAUUACCUGCGAGAGGGAGAGUGCUCAUUCCUGAACCAACUGCCGGAAACACAGGAUCACACUGGGAAGCUACAGUAAUGCAAUGCUCCUUAAAACAAAGCCCUGAACAUAUUUUUACACAACCCACCCUUGAAUGCAGUCCCGGCGGCUACAAAGCUGCCCAUCUUUUCUCUAGCAACUUGUGGUUCACCACAGCCUUUGUAACGUUGGCAGAGUAGGAGCAAAUACUCGAUCAUUUCUGCUUUAUUCUCUUUAGCCACAAAACCCAGCUCCCAAAGCGCAGUGCUGUUUUUAAUAAUGACAUCUUGAGCGCCUUUCAGAGCCUGUCUGAAAGAAAAUACAGGCCUUUAAUAAGUUAUUUUAAUGCCCUUAACUCUGGAGAAAAGGAAGCAGGGGGACAUACAUCUCUGCAAAAGUUUCAGAGUCUGGAAGAAUCUGAUUCAGAAACAAAAGCCUUUUGAAUCUCUCUUGAUUCCCCCCCCCCAUUCCUGAUCUUCCCCUCUCUUUCUUCCUUCCUUCACGUUCCCCCCUCCCCUGCUGAGCAGUAACAGUGCCAACUUAUCAGAUACGUUUAGCUGCCAGCUUCCCAGAUCCUUUCCUUUGAAUGUGACCUGGCAGCAGCUUGGUGGAACUUUUCAACUGUUAUAUGUGUCAUAUGCUAUGAAGAAGAAGAAAAACGGAAGUAUAAUGACUACUGGAAUACAUGAUUCAUGGCAAAGUCAAGAGUGGGGGAAUGCGAGGCAAUUUAUUUUAACCCGUAAGGCAACUAACUAUCCAACAGGAGACGGAGAUGAGGAAACAAGCAUUGUAAUAUUUUGCCUUCAUCUGAGGAUCUCAAUCCCCUUAUAAUCAGCUAUGAAUUAAGGCUCAUGACAGCCCCUUGGCAAUGGCAUGAGAAAAAGCUAGGCAGGGGGAGUGAAAAUGAAGGGGCCCUGAAGCAAUAUGGAUAGCAAGCGGGCUGUCUAAAGUGGGUGACAGGACAGUGGUUACACCUGUGCCACAAUGGUUGUGUCAUUCAAUCAGUCUGACACGGGGGAAAUGAAGCACUUAGCCGUUAAGUGACUUGUCCAUAGUAAGACGGCAAGUCAGUAGUAGAUUUGAGAUUAGGAACCAGGUAUCUUGACUUCCAGUCUUCUGCUUUAACCACUAGAUGAUACUGCCUGUCUUUAAAAUAAAAAUCCCCAGCGUAGAAACAUGCAGCUUCACCUCCGUGAGUGCCUGUUCAGGAAAUGGUCUGUUCUAAUACAUCAGAUUACUAUAAAACAAUGACCAUCCUGUGUGUCGUUGUAAUCAUUUUUUUAAAAAACAGGGAAAGUAUGACUCAGAACACUGGUCCUCCUCCCAGCACUGCCACUGUCUCACUGAGGCCAGUCACCUAGCCUGCUUUUGUGCCUUAGUUUACCCCUCUGUAAACCAGAUAUAGUAAUCAUUUUUCAUUAUUAAGUACCUGGAGGAAAGUCUCAGGCGCAAAUAAAGACAGCCCUUGCCCUGAAGAGUUUGCUGGUCCUCAGCUGCCCCAUUAGCAAUGUCAGGAGACUUAAUGAAUUACUUUUGCCAAGCGCUUUGAGACCAGGGGUUGACAGGCACUAUAGAAAUGUAAAAUAUAAUGAUUAAUUGACUUUUCUUGGUGGGAAGUUGGUCACUUUGCACCAAGAGAGGUGCCAUCCUCUCUUCACUUUCUGUGACUGGCAAACCAGAGGGAGUGUUUAACUUUAAAAAAAAAACCAACAUCUUUACA